rnacentral:lncRNA from 1 species
AUUAUGCAAAAUUUAUUUAAGAUUAGAAGCAACUCAUGCAUACAUAGAUUCAUUCUCAACAUACUACCCCCUUUUGUUAUAAGUAAUCUCAACUUUUACCCCUUUUUAUCAUCAUCUUAAAAUCAAAGCAAACCCCUCACAUCACUCACCCAAUGAACAGCUCUCUUUUUCUUUUGACUCAACUACUAGGGAUUUUAAUUCACUCUUUACAAACUCUAACUCUUUUUCAUUCCCUUCCCCAACUUCUCUUUGAUUUUUCUCUUUUUUAUUUUUAUUUUUAUUUUUAUUUUUUUUUUAUUAGGGAGAAGGUUCUUUGUUGCAUAAUCAAGAGCUUCAUAUUUUCUUUUGGUAGAGUACCUCUCUAAUAAGCGUGGGAGGAGGCCGAUGCCUCAUCCUCGGUGUCAGCUUCCUCAUCUGUAGAGGCAAGGGAUGGAGAUUUGUUUCCUGAGUCGGACUGUUGAGCUGGUGGGUUUCUCUUCUGGCGGAGCAGCUCUUUCU